rnacentral:rRNA from 1 species
GGAGAGUUUGAUCAUGGCUCAGGACGAACGCUGGCGGCGCGCCUAAUGCAUGCAAGUCGAACGGUUCCUUGGCCUUCGGGCCUAUGGGAUAGUGGCAAACGGCUGAGUAACGCGUAAGGGACCUGACCCCGGGUGGGGGAUAACCCAUCGAAAGGUGGGCUAAUACCCCGUACGCUGGUCGGCUGCAUGGCCGAUCAGGAAAGUUUCGGCGAAAGUCGUUUCGCCCGGGGAGGGCCUUGCGUCCUAUCAGGUAGUUGGCGGGGUAACGGCCCACCAAGCCUAAGACGGGUAACCGGCGUGAGAGCAUGAACGGUCAGAGGGGGACUGAGACACGGCCCCCACUCCUACGGGAGGCAGCAGCAGGGAAUUUUGCGCAAUGGGCGAAAGCCUGACGCAGCGACGCCGCGUGGGGGAAGAAGGCCCUCGGGUUGUAAACCCCUUUUCUGGGGGAAGAGCAAGGACGGUACCCCAGGAAUAAGCCCCGGCUAACUACGUGCCAGCAGCCGCGGUAAUACGUAGGGGGCGAGCGUUGUCCGGAAUUACUGGGCGUAAAGGGCGCGUAGGCGGCCCAGGAAGUCUCCGGUGAAAUCUCCCGGCUUAACUGGGAGCGGUCCGGGGAAACUCUUGGGCUUGAGGACAGCAGAGGAGGGUGGAAUUCCCGGUGUAGUGGUGAAAUGCGUAGAUAUCGGGAGGAACAUCAGUGGCGAAGGCGGCCCUCUGGGCUGUACCUGACGCUGAGGCGCGAAAGCGUGGGGAGCGAACAGGAUUAGAUACCCUGG